GAUGAACGCUGGCGGCGUGCUUAACACAUGCAAGUCGAACGAAGACAUCUGAGUGCUUGCACUUGGAUGGACUGAGUGGCGGACGGGUGAGUAACGCGUGGGUAACCUGCCUUAUACAGGGGGAUAACAGUUGGAAACGACUGCUAAUACCGCAUAAGCGCACGGUAUCGCAUGAUACAGUGUGAAAAACUCCGGUGGUACAGGAUGGACCCCGCGUCUGAUUAGCUGGUUGGUGAGGUAACGGCCCACCAAGGCAACGAUCAGUAGCCGGCCUGAGAGGGUGAACGGGCCACAUUGGGACUGAGACACGGCCCAGACUCCUACGGGAGGCAGCAGUGGGGAAUAUUGCACAAUGGGGGAAACCCUGAUGCAGCAACGCCGCGUGAAGGAUGACGGUUUUCGGAUUGUAAACUUCUUUUCUUAGUGACGAAGACAGUGACGGUAGCUAAGGAAUAAGCAUCGGCUAACUACGUG
rnacentral:rRNA from 1 species